GCGGCCGUGACCCUGCUGGAGUGCGGGGGGGAACUCCAGCCCCCCGGAGGGUCCCUGCGCCUCCUCUGCCGAGGGUCCGAGUUUAAUUUCGGGAAUUUCUCCAUGUCCUGGGUGCGCCAGAGGCCCGGGCAGGGGCUGGAAUUCGUGGCAGGUAUCAAGGACAAUGGUGGCAGCAUCGCCUACGCGCCAUCGUUCAAGGGCCGGUUCAGGACCUCCAGGGACAACCGGCAGAACUCGGUGACACUGACCAUGAACAACCUCAAGCACGAAGAUUCCGGAUCCUAUUUCUGUGCCAGAUGCAUUGAUGGUGGUUGUGCCAAUAGUGAUGCUCCCAAGACCUGGUUGGAGCAGGCCUGA